rnacentral:rRNA from 1 species
AUGUGGCGCGGCUGUGUCUCGCGCGGCCUCUCCAAGGCCAAGGCCUCAGCCUCUAGGCUCUUCUCCACGACCUCGUCCUCGUACACGGUGGUGGACCACUCGUAUGACGCGGUGGUGGUGGGCGCAGGAGGCGCAGGUCUCCGGGCGGCCAUCGGGCUCUCGGAGCACGGCUUCAGCACCGCCUGCAUCACCAAGCUCUUCCCCACGCGGUCGCAUACCGUCGCAGCUCAGGGAGGCAUAAAUGCUGCUCUAGGAAACAUGAGCGAAGAUGACUGGAGAUGGCAUAUGUAUGAUACGGUCAAGGGAAGCGACUGGCUUGGUGGACAGGCCUACCGAUGUGCAUGUGCUGCUGACAGGACAGGGCAUGCUAUGCUCCACACGUUAUAUGGUCAAGCCAUGAAGCAUAACACUCAGUUUUUUGUAGAAUAUUUUGCACUAGACCUUCUCAUGGACAAUGAAGGCAACUGCCAGGGAGUCAUUGCCUUAAACAUGGAGGAUGGUACGCUUCACCGUUUCCGUGCAACAAAUACAAUUCUAGCCACCGGGUCGGGUUACGGCAGGGCCUACUUCUCAGCAACCUCAGCUCACACAUGUACUGGAGAUGGCAAUGCCAUGGUUGCACGUGCUGGUUUACCUCUUCAAGAUCUUGAGUUCGUCCAGUUCCAUCCUACAGGCAUAUAUGGUGCUGGAUGCCUCAUCACUGAAGGAUCCCGUGGUGAGGGUGGUAUUCUUAGGAACAGUGAAGGUGAGCGUUUCAUGGAACGAUAUGCUCCUACUGCAAAGGAUCUUGCUUCUCGUGAUGUUGUUUCAAGAUCCAUGACAAUGGAAAUUAGAGAAGGACGUGGUGUUGGGCCAUUGAAGGAUCACAUCUAUUUGCAUCUUAACCACCUGCCUCCUGAAGUUCUCAAGGAAAGACUUCCUGGUAUAUCUGAAACUGCUGCUAUUUUUGCUGGUGUUGACGUCACCAAGGAGCCCAUUCCAGUUUUGCCUACCGUUCACUACAACAUGGGUGGGAUCCCAACAAACUACCAUGGGGAGGUUGUAGAUAUCAAGGGUGAUAAUCCAGAUACUGUUAUUCCUGGUUUAAUGGCUGCUGGAGAAGCAGCGUGCGCGUCUGUUCAUGGUGCAAAUCGUUUGGGUGCAAAUUCACUUCUUGACAUAGUUGUGUUUGGUAGAGCUUGUGCAAACAGGGUAGCUGAGAUUUCGAAACCAGGUGACAAGCAGAAACUUCUGGAAAAAGGUGCAGGGGAGAAGACUAUAGCAUGGUUGGACAAGCUGAGAAAUGCAAAUGGUUCAUUGCCAACUUCCAAGAUCCGUCUCAACACGCAACGUAUUAUGCAAAAUAAUGCUGCAGUUUUCCGUACACAAGAAACGCUUGAAGAAGGUUGUCAACUGAUCAGCAAAGCAUGGGAAAGUUAUCAUGACGUGAAGAUCAGUGACCGAAGCCUCAUAUGGAAUUCAGACUUGAUAGAAACCAUAGAGCUGGAAAAUCUGUUGAUAAAUGCAUGCAUAACUAUGUAUUCAGCAGAGGCUCGGAAGGAAAGCAGAGGAGCUCAUGCUCGUGAAGAUUUCACGACAAGAGACGAUGAGCGUUGGAUGAAGCACUCACUGGGGUACUGGGAGAACGAGAAGGUACGAUUGGCAUACAGGCCAGUCCAUAUGAACACAUUGGAUGAUGAAAUCGAGUCGUUCCCACCGAAAGCACGAGUAUACUGA